UUGCACGGCGCGCUCGGCGGUGAGCAGCAUGAGUCUCCACGGGAAAGUGGCUCUGGUCACCGGCGGCGCGCAAGGCAUCGGAAGAGCCGGGGUGGAACAUCUCCUGGAGAACGGGGCGAAGGUUGCACUGGUAGACCUGAACCAAUCUGUGGGAGAGGAAUGUAAAAGCGAUCUAGAUGGCCAGUUUGGAGAGGAUAAUUGUAUUUUUAUCCAAUGUGACGUGACUGACUCUGGGAAACUUAGAGAUGCCUUUCAAAACACAGUAGAGAAGUUUGGUCGGUUGGAUAUUGUCAUCAAUAAUGCUGGAAUCAACAAUGAGAAGAACUGGGAAAAGACCAUUGAAGUAAAUUUGACAUCUGUCAUACAGGGGACAUAUUUAGCACUAGAACACAUGAGUAAAGAGUAUGGAAAAGAUGGAGGGGUUAUCAUCAACGUUUCAUCUAUGGCAGCUUUUCUGCAUUCUCCUCACCAGCCAGUAUACACAGCAACAAAGCAUGGGGUGAUUGGAUUUUCCAGAGCCAUUGCAGCUGACCGUGUUUGGACACGUUUUGUUGUCGGCAGGACGCAUCUGAACAGGGCAAUUAUGGAGUGAGGAUCAACACACUGUGCCCAGCCUUCGUGGACACCCAACUCCUUCGCACUGUGGAGCACGAGGAAACAAUGGGCAAGUUUGUCAAGUACAAAGAUGAAUUCAAGCAACGGAUGGACAAGUAUGGCGUUCUAAAACCAUCUCUGAUUGCAGAAGGAAUGCUGCGAAUGAUAACAGAUGAAAGCCUAAACGGAGCCGUGAUGAAGAUCACCUGUUCUAAAGGCAUUCACUUCCACACCUAUGAACCUCUCUCAGCUUGAGAGCGAUGCCUUCAUCAAACAUGUUCGUCUUUUUUCUCUCCUCUCCGUUCUUCAUCGGAACAUUUAUUUGAUUGAAGUCUAGUGCAGGCACCUCAAACCGCAAGUUUAAGACACAAACCUAUGGCGCAUUUAAGAAAUAAAAAGGGACGGUAUAAGUUUUCCUAUCUAUCAUUUGAGUUUUGAAAACCAAAAAGGACUGCAUACUGGUAUUCGGGCCUCUUUUUUUUUUUUUUUUUUGUCAUGCCCUUGAACAUUAAUUUGAAUGCUGUAAACUGCUACUGUAAAUGGUUUUGAGAAAAGAUAAUCAUAUUUAUUAAUAAUUCAGUUAUUGUUUUCAAGUCAAUUGUACCUCAAUAUAUAUCAAUGAUUAAUUUUUUUGUAUAGUUUUUGUAUAAUAUUUUAGAUAUAUAUCUUUGUGGCAAAGAGAGUAUCUUUUAUUAUGUAUACCUUAUGUAGAAAUCAACCAAUAAACUUCUAAAAAU